AGCAUUAUUUUAUUUUGUUUCUCUUCUUUAUUUAUAAUGAUUAUACAUAAAUUCAAGCCGUUGGCCUAAAGGAGUUCUAUGAGUUAUCAUUUUUGUCUGGAUAUGUAAUUGAAACAAAAAGCUCUAGAAUUCUUCAGGUAAUCGGGUAAAGAGCGAACAGAUAUGCUUUCGGAAUCUUACUAUUAUUCAAUAAUACUCGAGUUAUCUUGUAUUUUUUUCUGAUUCACUUAUUUAAGAAAGAAAUGUGAAACGAAUCAUUUCACUAUAAUCUCACAUUGUGGAGUAAAGAUAGCUUAAAAAAUAAUUGUAACUUCAUAAGAGUAAUCAAUUGCUUUGGACAAUUUCUCAUAAAAUUUCGCUGUACUAAUAAUUAGGCUUCUUGAAUAGUCCUUAGUAAAUUCAUCUAUUAACUCUUAGGGUCUAAUAUGGGAAUGGAAGAAUUAGACAAGCCCUCAGUUGAAGUUGCAUUUGUAUUGAAACGAUAUGAGAACUGUGAAUGGAAUUUCUCUCCGUUAAUCAAGCAAUGUUUUGUCAAAUAUUGUUGAGAACUUACUAGAGAAAUGUAUUAUUUAGUGAGGAAAAAAUCUAUAAUAUCGAAAAGGCUUUCCAGAUUUUUCGAAUUGAAUGGAAUAAAAUCCAUCCUCAGAAUCCAUAUCGUUUGAGUAACAACCGUAAUAUACCGAGUUCGAAAGUACAUUAUUGAACAAAGAUAUGUAGGUUAUAUACGAGUAUAAAUUGACUAUAAUAAAUGAUAUGUCCUUUUUGUUGCAUUGGAACACUAAAACACCCCCCAGGAGUGUGUAUAAUUUCACAUCCAAUCUCUUAUACCUCAAAGGCGUCACAUAAACUUUCCCUAGUUCAAUCUGUUUCUCUAUCGAUAUCUAUUAAAAUUUUUGAAGCGAUUUAUAAAAAUUGUCUAGUUGAAAUCAUAGGAUCCAGGCAAAUGGUGCUCUAAUGAAGAAAAUUCUUCACUCUAACAAGCCCCAGUAGUACUUUUUGCGACAAGAAAUAUUACUGAAUUCUUAUAAUCAAAAUAUCUUCAACGGAACGAACUUACGUCCAGUGUUUGAUAGGUAAAACCUUCAGGAUCUGAUUACAGAUGAUACAUUCGAAUAUUUCAAACACCUAAGAGAAACUCAGUUUCAAUCUUUUUAAUCAUUUAGAACAAUCAGGAAGUCGAAUGAAUAUGGAGCUACUGUUUUCUGAAAAAGCCGAGGUUUCUUACGAUCAUCUAUAGCCAGAUCCUAUGCCGGAGCACGAAGUCAGAAUCUCCAAGCUUCAAACACAUUUUAAACCUAUUUAAGAAACAACUCCUCUCCUGAAAAUUGGCUACGCGAUACCUAAAAUCUACCAAGUGCAGAUCUUACUUCCUAUACAAGAUUGCUGGUCAACUGAAGACACUGUUACAUCAAAUAUGUUUCAAACAUUCUGUUAGUUGCAGUCACUUCUCUGUGAAUAUAACAAUUUGGCGAUUCCCAACUGGUCACACGUAUAUAAAGAAACAGCUUUAUUUCAUCGAGAAGCUUCAUAGCGUAGGAAGCACUUCGGUUAUUAUGUAGAUCGGCUUAAAUCUAUUCUUGAAAAAAUAUUCUCUAAAAUUUUUAUAGGAAACAUGUAGCAGUAACUAACGAAUUGCAUUGUCGAUUAUUAAUACUGUAUUUUUUCUUCCGAAAAAUCUCAGGCAGACCUAAGGAUAUUGAAUGACCCAGUUUCACAGAAAACCGCAAAUUAUCUUUCAUUUCACAGGGCUAAAAGGCUAGAAAUUUUUUUAUUCAGGACGUGCUGUUUCUUUUUUAUGUCAUUCAUCAUGUUCUUUAUUUCCCAGUCAUAUUUUUACCUGAAAAUAAAAAAAAUAAAGAAUAAAAUAAUACCUGAAAUCAUUAUUUAAAACCCAGCCAUUAUUCCAUUACAUCUCUCAAUUACCACUGUUACAAUUUUUAAAAUAAAUUUUAAAAAAAUAGGCAAAUAAGAAAAUUCUAUUUCCAGUUUAUUUACGGAAUGCUAUGUGAAAAAUUGAACGAGUUUCGAAAUAUUUCGAGAAAGAAAUCUUAGGUAUGAAACCAGAAUGCCAAUAAGCCAAUAUAUCAACUUUCACCAAGUUUCUGUGACCUAUAAUUGGUGAAAUCUCGGUGGUCCACAUAUUUGACGGUUUUCUGUUGAACUGCCUCUUCUGUUGACAAUUUUCCUAUCGCAUUGACCAGUUGAGCAUCCUUAUUUAACAUUUCAACUAUACAUAUAAAUAAGUUUAUCAACUUCUUCAUUAAAUGAACUAACACUUAAACAACUACAGGAAACUAACAAGUACAGUGCCAUGUGAUUCGUGCGUUGAAAAUUAUACAAGUUUUUCAUCGUCAGAAGCCAUCGUAAAGAACUAUGGUUGGUAUGAUAAGGAGCCCUAAUUAUAAAGCAGAAUACAUUGAAAUGACACGAUUUUUGACUAGGCUAUUCUGUGGAAAUUGCCAAUCCCCAGUUAGUUUUUCAAGAUGAGAACAAUAAUCCCAAAAUUGAUAGGAAAAAAACUACAAAAGUGAUCUCAAGGGAGGAACAAUUUAGGAAUUGGUUAAGAAAUUAUCGUAUCUUUCAGAAAAUAAGGAAAAUUCAAAAUUAUCUGUUCAUUUCGAGUAGAAAAUCCAAUACUUGUUUCCUUACAAAUUCUUCACUUUUUCUGGGGAUAGACUUAGUUCAAUUCAAUCUAUUGUGAACUAUUGUCAUCGAAUUACAGCUUCAAAUUGAACAAAUUUUUUUAAUACUAGGUAUACACUUUUUCUUGAAGAUUUGGUCGACAUUUACAAGUUCAUUUUGGAAGCAGUUAUUAUGAAAACUGCCCGCAUUCGAUAAAGUUUUCAGGAAGAAAAAUUCGAACCAAAUCGUUUUCAAUCGAUACGCAAAACUAGGCCUUUUUUUCGAUACAAGAUCGAAAAGUCACUCUGAGCAGUACGGAAAAAUAAAUGUCUGUUGAGUCAGAUGAGAAUAAUACUUUCCUGUAUAUAUGAGAUACACAUGGCGAAAGUUUCAGCGUACUGAAAUUGUGUGCAGAUAGUUUGAACAACCAGCCUUGAUAUAUCAAGAAAUUCAUCAGUUUUCAGAAAAACAGAGUGUUUAUUUCAUAAUUGA